UACGGAGGGUGCAAGCGUUAUCCGGAUUUACUGGGUUUAAAGGGUGUGUAGGCGGGUUUUUAAGUCAGUGGUGAAAUCUCCGAGCUUAACUUGGAAACUGCCAUUGAUACUAUUGAUCUUGAAUUCUGUUGAGGUGGGCGGAAUAUGUCAUGUAGCGGUGAAAUGCAUAGAUAUGACAUAGAACACCAAUUGCGAAGGCAGCUCACUAAGCAGAUAUUGACGCUGAGGCACGAAAGCGUGGGGAUCAAACAGG
rnacentral:rRNA from 1 species